GACCCCAUCGUCUAGGGGUUAGGACUCCAGGUUUUCAUCCUGGCAACACGGGUUCGAAUCCCGUUGGGGUCGCCA
rnacentral:tRNA from 1 species